GAUGAACGCUGGCGGCGUGCCUAAUACAUGCAAGUCGAGCGAACGGACGAGAAGCUUGCUCCUCUGACGUUAGCGGCGGACGGGUGAGUAACACGUGGAUAACCUACCUAUAAGACUGGGAUAACUUCGGGAAACCGGAGCUAAUACCGGAUAAUAUUUUGAACCGCAUGGUUCAAUAGUGAAAGACGGUCUUGCUGUCACUUAUAGAUGGAUCCGCGCUGCAUUAGCUAGUUGGUAAGGUAACGGCUUACCAAGGCAACGAUGCAUAGCCGACCUGAGAGGGUGGACGGCCCCACUGGAACUGAGAACAGGUCCAGACUCCUAAGGGAGGCAGCCGUAGGGGAACUUCCGGCAUGGGGGGAAGCCUGGCGGAGCAACGGCGCGUGGGUGAAGGAGGUCUUCGGAUCGUAAAACCCUGUUAUUAGGGAAGAAAAUAUGUGUAAGGAACUGAGCCACUUUUGAAGGUACCCAAUCAGGAAGCCAACGGUAAAUACCUU
rnacentral:rRNA from 1 species